rnacentral:rRNA from 1 species
AUCCAGACUCCUACGGGAGGCAGCAGUGGGGAAUAUUGGACAAUGGGGGGAACCCUGAUCCAGCGACGCCGCGUGAGUGAAGAAGUAUUUCGGUAUGUAAAGCUCUAUCAGCAGGGAAGAAAAAAGACGGUACCUAACUAAGAAGCCCCGGCUAACUACGUGCCAGCAGCCGCGGUAAUACGUAGGGGGCAAGCGUUAUCCGGAUUUACUGGGUGUAAAGGAAGCGUAGACGGCAGCGCAAGUCUGAAGUGAAAUCCCAUGGCUUAACCAUGGAACUGCUUUGGAAACUGUGCAGCUGGAGUGCAGGAGAGGUAAGCGGAAUUCCUAGUGUAGCGGUGAAAUGCGUAGAUAUUCGGAGGAACACCGGUGGCGAAGGCGGCCAACUGGGCUUUAACUGACGCUGAGGCUCGAAAGUGUGGGGAGCAAACAGGAUUAGAUACCCCGGUA